rnacentral:rRNA from 1 species
UCGGGAAUUUUGGGCAAUGGGCGAAAGCCUGACCCAGCAACGCCGCGUGAAGGAUGAAGUAUUUCGGUAUGUAAACUUCGAAAGGAUAGGAAGAAUAAAUGACGGUACUAUUUAUAAGGUCCGGCUAACUACGUGCCAGCAGCCGCGGUAAUACGUAGGGACCAAGCGUUGUUCGGAUUUACUGGGCGUAAAGGGCGCGUAGGCGGCAAUUCAAGUCAUCUGUGAAAUCUCCGGGCUUAACUCGGAACGGUCAGAUGAUACUGCUUUGCUAGAGUGCAGAAGGGGCAAUCGGAAUUCUUGGUGUAGCGGUGAAAUGCGUAGAUAUCAAGAGGAACACCUGAGGUGAAGACGGGUUGCUGGGCUGACACUGACGCUGAGGCGCGAAAGCCAGGGGGAGCAAACGGGAUUAGAUACCCCUGUAGUCCCUGAGCGGGCUGGCAAGGCGCAU